CAGGAUUUAGCGCCGUGUUAUUUCUUUUUUAUGUAGCCGUCGCGUUGGCAAUGGUACCGGGCAUUGGGGAUCGGUCCUGUGCUGGGGUUCGGCACGCCUGUAUCCAUUUGGUGUCUACCCUGUAAUUUCAUUUAAUGAAAAUAAUCCUCUGCAGUAAAAAAGUUGUAUCCCACCUGGAUGCCGUGCUCUUUUAAACUGAAAUGCCAUUUAUCAUUUAUAUCGCAGGUUGGUUUAUAUUUUUAAAGCAAGCUUUGUUAAUGGAAACCACAUUCAUCACUAGGCAGCCCUUUCCAUCUUAAGACGUUUCUGCAAUAGCAUUUCGUGCUCUCGGGCCUCGGUCCAACGCUCUCCUGUCCGGACACUGGCACUCACGGUCCCGAUGACCACAAACCGUGCUCAGAUCCGACUGCAACAUCAGAUGUCCCUGCUGCCGGUGCCAAGGGCUCUCCACACGCGCCAGCCCAGGUCCCGUGCUGGCCCCUCACCGCGCUUCUGCAGAGCCUCCCGUCACCGUGCCCAGCAAAACGGGAAAGCGGAGACAUGGGCCACAAAUGCGGCUCUUUUCUUUUUUUUUUUUUUUGGUAAAUAGAGCCGAGCAUUGCUGGAGAACUAUGCUAGUCCUAAGGCAGCACUUCCAGAGUUAAGGGUGGAUUUAUUAUUUGUUAUGAGGAGUGGCUGAGGGAACUGGGGCUUGUUUAACCUGGAGAAAAGGAGGCUGAGGGGAGACCUUAUUGCUGUCUGCAACUACCUGAAAGGAGGUUGUAGCAUGGAGGGUGUUGGUCUCUUCUCCCAAGUAACAAGUGAUAGGACAAGAGGAAAUGGCCUCAAGUUGUGCCAGGGGAGGUUUAAAUUGGAUAUUAGGAAAAAAUUCUUCACCGAAAGGGUUAUCAGGCAUUGGAACAGGCUGCCCAGGGCAGUGGUGGGGUCAGCAGCCCUGGAGGGGUUUAAAAGGCAUUGAGACAAGGUUCUUAGGAACAUGGUUUAGUGCUAGAGUUAGGUUAUGGUUGGACUCAAUGAUCCUGAGGAUCUCUUCCAACUGAAAUGAUUCUAUGAUUUUCCGUUCCGCCUAACAACUGGCACAUAGCACGGGCAGAUUUCACCUACCUGAGUUUCCUCUCAGAAGCAGAUGGGACCCCUUGACUCCACAAAGCCUUGAAGAAAGCAGAUGGGUAAAAGAAGACGAGCGAGAGCAGUGGGCGGACGGGAGAAUGGGAGCACGCACAUAGCCUAAGGCAAGAGGAAAGAAGAUAUGGGACCUCUUACUGUGGGACAUCAAGGGCCCGAAGAAGUGUAUGGUAGGAGCUGUGAGGAGAAGUCCAUGAAAUGGGAACAGGACGCGUAACAUUCAGAAAGCUUGUGAGAAAGUGGGGAGGGAAAAGCCCUCAAGUGUGUGUUGUUUGGCCCGCAGGAACUACCAACACCAUCUUCCCAUCCAUCUGCUGAGCAGUGACAAUGUGCUGAACUGAAGUCAUCUGACUGAAGGAUUCCGUGGUCUGGUGAUCUCAAAAUGUUCCGUCACAGCUCUGGGGUGCCAGGCUUUCCCUUUUAACAUGAUGAUAUACGCGACUGUGUGAUUACCCAAGUAUACAUUCCGCUCUGUAGAAUCUACAAAAUGCAUUCUGCUAGUUUUGUGCUUUAGUUGUUUUACCCUAUCCAUUUUGUUCUGGUAUCCCUUCUUGAAGAUGAACACCUCACAGGUCUGCACAAAGGCCAUACUUUCCAUUAUGAGCUUUAAACUUUGUAGUUCUGUUGCCUAAAUAUGCAGCUGGGCUCAGUGUUACCUGGGCCGCUUCCAGAGCAUACGGGAGGGAGGUUCUCACUUUCAGAGGUUUCCAAGAACGGAUGUUGGGUAACAUGGGGCAGCUCAGCAGGUUAUGGUUUGCAGCAGGCUGUUGUGAGUGAGCCGAGCUUAAGGAGUUGGCUUUGCCUUGAGCCGGGAGAGGCACUUUUAAACAAUAACUGUUGCUACAUUUCCUUUCCCAAACUCUCCCAGUAGUGAAAAAGAUAGGACCAAACCCUAACUUCUGAGUGUAGAACUGGAGCGGAUCUGAGGUCUUGAUUCACCCACGUGUUUGGAUACAAGUGCUUCAGUAUCACGCCUGCUCACGUUCCAUGGCUCUGUCAUCCCAACUACUGGAAAGUCUUCUCACAGCCAUAUUUGUAAGACACAUUCUUAAAAUAGUCGAAAUUACAUGUAAUAGUGAGUGCUCGGCCUUGUAAGCACAUAUAAGCAAAUAUUUGUAAUAACUGGACCAGUGUUUGCACAGCACCAAGCACACUGCCCGAACUCCAUAAAUAAUAAUACUUGGCACUCACAGAGUGGUUUCCAUUUUCAAAGCACUUUAGUCAUAACCCUUGACACCUAUAUGGCCUUUUACAUCUUUACAAGAAUUAAUUAAUCCUCACAAUGUCCUGUGAGAUAGGUAUGCACUGCAAUAAUAACAAUAACAAUUAAUAAUUCAUGCAUUCUUCUAAAAAAUCACUUCAGGGAUUAAAAUGCAUCUGUAAUACUUGUUUUUUUAAUAACAUUUUCCAGCAAAUAAUAAAAGCCAUGCUAUUGUGUUAAA